UGCAAGUAGCCCGGUAGCGCACUCGCUUGGGGUGCGAGUGGUCGGCAGUUCAAAUCUGCUCGCCACGA
rnacentral:tRNA from 1 species